rnacentral:rRNA from 1 species
GGACCGUAUGCGAGUGAGAAUGCUGGCAUGAGUAGCGAGAGACGAGAGAGUAACUCGUCCGCCGUAAACCCGAGGUUUCCUGGGCGAGGCUAAUCCUCCCAGGGUCAGUCGGGGGCUAAGCCGAGGGCGGAAGCCGUAGGCGAAGCGCAGCAGGUGGACAUUCCUGCACCGGAGAUGCGCCGUCACGACCGACGGGGCGACGGAUUGGGGUGGCUCGGCGGGGUUCUGGACGUCCCCGUGAUGGAGCGCGGCCCGCGGACCAGGCAAAUCCGGUCCGCAUGAGGGCGAGGCUCCGGACGAAGCGACUGAGCGAAGCGAGUGAGCCCGUGGUCCCCAGAAAAACCCCUAGGCAGGGGCAUCUCCGCCCGUACCGCAAACCGACACAGGUGGGUGGGUAGAACAUACCGAGGCGAUCGGGUCAACCAUGGUCAAGGAACUCGGCAAAAUGGCCCCGUAACUUCGGGAGAAGGGGCGCCGGCGCGUACGUGGACCCACUUGCUGGGCGAGCGGAGGCCGGCCGCAGUGAAGAGGCCCAAUCGACUGUUUACCAAAAACACAGGACUCUGCAGAAGGCGAGAGCCGACGUAUAGGGUCUGACGCCUGCCCGGUGCCGGAAGGUCACGCGGAGGGGUUAGCGCGAGCGAAGCCCCGAAGCCAAGCCCCGGUAAACGGCGGCCGUAACUAUAACGGUCCUAAGGUAGCGAAAUUCCUUGUCGGGUAAGUUCCGACCUGCACGAAAGGCGCAACGACUUGGGCGCUGUCUCGACCAUGGACCCGGUGAAAUUCCACUAGUCGUGAAGAUGC